rnacentral:tRNA from 1 species
CAGGGAGACAACAAAAUGUUUAAUAUUAUUAUUUUGUCACCUUAGGUCGAUCGGUAUCUCACUUUCUUAUUUUGUUAAGAAUUUCAUUUCCUAAGUUUUUCUAGGUCACACCCAUUAUUUCCUGGGCCAUUAGCUCAGGUGGUUAGAGCGCACCCCUGAUAAGGGUGAGGUCCCUGGUUCAAGUCCAGGAUGGCCCAUAUCUCUAUGUUGGGGGUAUAGCUCAGUUGGUAGAGCGCCUGCUUUGCAAGCAGGAUGUCAGCGGUUCGAGUCCGCUUACCUCCACUGAUUACCACCUCUUCCAUAACCGGUAGAAAGGAAAUGUUUUGAGUUGUGAUCAUUAUUCUGAACGAAUCUAGCUUCCUGAUGAAAUCAUUAAGAUGCUGGACUCAUUGAAUUAAGUUCAUUGUUUUCAGAGAACCUUGACAACUGCAUAGAUUAUUUUUAAAGACAAUAAGCAUCUUUAAUGAUGCAGAUUUUUUAUUUGUGCGAAUGCAUUAAUAACAAUUCUAUUAAGCUGAUGCUUCAAUUUUUGAAGUUAUU